UACAGAGGUCCCAAGCGUUGUUCGGAUUCAUUGGGCGUAAAGGGUGCGUAGGCGGCGCGGUAAGUCGGGUGUGAAAUCUCGGGGCUUAACUCCGAAACUGCAUUCGAUACUGCCGUGCUUGAGGACUGGAGAGGAGACUGGAAUUUACGGUGUAGCGGUGAAAUGCGUAGAUAUCGUAAAGAAGACCAGUGGCGAAGGCGGGUCUCUGGACAGUUCCUGACGCUGAGGCACGAAGGCCAGGGGAGCAAACGGG
rnacentral:rRNA from 1 species